CAAAUUGUCUGACUGUCUACUUUUUGACAUUCCCAUAAUAAUCCUACAUUAAGUAAAAAGCAAUCACAGAGGUUAGGUUAAAAAAUGUGUAAUUCUAUUGCUUGAUUCUCUCACUCUCUUGGAUGUUAUCUUGUUAAAAGACAACAGUGUUUUGCAGUACUGUAUGCAGGGGCCCUUUGCAUAUCACACUGUCCGCAUGAGAAAGGAGGGAAACAAAAAGUGAAACAAGGUGGAAAUGAACCAUGCAUGGAAGGGAGGAAGUAUUUCAGAAAAAGAAAGGGGAAAGGAAGGGGUGGGAAUGAAAGAAGUAGGAAAUGUGGCAGAAAAAGAUUGAAAAAGGUCAUGGUAGGAGAAAUGAAUAAAGGAGGAUGGAAAGUUUUGAAUAGAGGAUAGAAAGAAGGAAGGAAGGGCCCAUUGCCAUGUCUUCCACCGCUCCAAGCUGAUCGAUGCAUACACCAGCACUUUACAUCUUUGCAUCAGCAUAAAUGGCAGCAUUUUGUGCGGCCGCUCACCUCCAUCAGAACCAAACAAAAUCAUGUCCUCAUAAAGCCCAGAGCUUCCUUUAUGAGCGCUGCCGUAUAGCUCACCCAGAGAGACAGCCUCGUCCUAACACUGGCUGAGUUAGGGCCCCUGAAAAUACUCCAUCUUUCCACAGUGAUUUACAGAACAGAAUUGUCAGCAUUUUACAGUAACUACAGAGGGGAGACAACUAAAUGAAUAGCUCCCGAUGUGGAAAAUUGAGCCGGUACGAUGAUUAAAAAGACAGUUAACACCAUUUACUGCACUGAAAACCCUGAGCUUUUUUUGGUUUUGUUCCAUGGCCAAUCAUUUGGGUUCAUUGACAGUUCAACAGUAGGACAACGGGUGGCUUGGGCUGAUUAAAGGUAUCUUAAAGCAUCCAGUAUGCUUGGAAAGCCUUCCAAUCAGCUAAGAGCCUGCAGUAAAUACAUAUACUGACUUACCAGUUUGUUACGUACACCUCUACAGUCUAAUUCAAUCCAAUGCAAUAUCCCUGCAGUAAACCCUAACUUUGUGAAGCUUCUAAUAUUUAGGCUGACUGUAGUUAGCUGUGUUGUUGCACCAGAUCAGUGAUUCCCAACUUGUACCCCAGGGGGUACUUCUGCAGUUUACAGGAGGUGAGUGGGUGGACUGGAAAGUACAGUAGCUCAACUAAUGUG